CUGCCAUGAGGGUAAGUGCGAUCUGGAGGAAAAAACAGACCAGCACAUUGCCACAAAGAGACCUAAUAACAGUUAUGUCGAUAUGGAUUCGAAAUCCUGUUUCGACAUAGUUAAAGUAGAUCCUGCCGGUAAAAUGGUACAUGCUAUAAAAUACCUUGACCCGAAACCCUUCUUCAAGGAGCCUGUGCCAUCCGAUGUAAUUGGAUGCUUUAAGGUAGUACGGACUAAUGUAUCGUACGUAACAUUAUCAGUUACUUAUGUCAAGACUCUGAGGCGUGCUAUGCGCAUAGACUUAGAAGGGCUUGAGGGCUGGCCAGAUAAAGAUUGUAAAGUUUCAGUAUUUAAUGCAUUGUAUCAUGAGACUUGCAGUUAAAGCAUUCAUUCUUAGUAACGUAUGCAUGCAAAGAUGUAUAUAUGUUUCUUAGUAUGUAUUGAACCAUCUGAGAUAGAAUAAGUUAAAGUGAUUAUAUCAAUGCAUGACCAAAGAAUCUGUUAAGUAUUGAUCCAACAUUGGUGAUUAACCUAUGGGUUACAUAUUCCUUAUAGCGUAACUGAUCCUAAGCAUAUAUCUGUGUUUACAUAUAAUUUCUAUUACAUAUCUGUAGUCUAUUAAAGCAACUGCAGGAAAAUAUGUCAUCCAAGCGGUCCCAAAGAAGUGUCCAGGUGAGAAAACAACUCGAGAAACGACAUCGUACUGACCCACAAUGUUUCAGUUCCGGUGGGAAGGCGAGAUUCGCUGUCUUCGACUUUCUCAGAGACCGGCCUUGGAGCUGCAUGACAGUGCUAUCGAAAUGGAUCGUCCCGAUGUCAUCUCUGACAGCCGCUGAGAAAGAGUUAACUAAAGAUUUCAACAAGGAGGAGGCUGAUGCUCCUUACGUAUGCUGGUAUCCGCCGCCAGAGGAUUCUGAUUACACACGAAUCAGGAAACUCGUCAUAGUGGACAGCAACAGAGGAGAACAUUGGGUCCCUCUCCCCGGAC